GAAGUUAGGCGUCCCCAAACAGCGUUGUCUGAAGGGUACCGGGAAUCUUGGAAUGCAGUUCUUGGGCUUUGGGUAAAUGAAUGCAGCUCUGUUCGGGGAUUUUCUUGCAGCCUUGAAUGAGUUAUUACCAUCGGAAAAAACUUGGGCCGGAAAUAUGGAGGCUAAAACAUGCAGUCAAAAAUCCACUGUCGGACACUGUACCCUCAGCAGAUUUCAAUAUGAUCCUAGAAUGUACAGAGUAUAUAGAAUCAAUCAACAUAUUAUCAAUCACCAACCCAGACC